UAGAAAUGGGGGCUCCUUUCAGCCUAAAAACAGCUUCAAAUAAUAAGGGUUUUGGUCUUGUCGAUGAUGUUUUGGACUGAAGGGAGCUCCUAAUUCUU
rnacentral:pre_miRNA from 1 species